CCCAGCCCCACGCCCAGCCCCGCGCGCCGCCCAGCCCCACGCCCAGCCACAAGCGAGACGAGGAGAAGAAGCACCCCGGGAGCGAUGGCAAGGCGUACCACCACGUUUGGCCGCCCAUGGAAUUUGGAUGGCGAGUUGUGGUGGGGUCACUGAUCGGGUUCUUCGGCGCGGCGUGUGGCAGCGUCGGCGGUGGCGGCAUCUUCGUCCCAAGUCAUCUACCGCAAUAUCCAAGUGCAUGAUCAUGGGAGGGUCUGUUUCAACAGUCUACUACAACCUGAAGCUGAAGCACCCGAGUCUGGACAUGCCGCUGAUCGAGUACGACCUCGCCCUGCUCAUGCAACCUAUGCUCAUGCUUGGGGUCAGCAUUGGCGUCAUUUUCAAUGUUAUUUUCCCCAACUGGCUCAUCACGGCUCUCCUCAUAACCAUUUUCCUAGUCACAUCAACUAAGGCGUAUCUCAAGGGCUUCGAAACUUGGAAGAAGAGACCAUAAAGAAAAGGGAGGACGCAAGAAGACAGGAGCAGAUAUGUCAGGAACCAGAGCAUGCAAUCCCUAUAGAAUCAGAUGCCCCAGCUGAUAAGGCGAAAUCCCCGACAGAUGAAGCGACAUCAGUUCUGAAGAACAUUUAUUGGAAGGAGUUUGGUCUUCUUGCAUUCGUUUGGGUGGCACGACCCGACCCUGUCGCCAGGAUCGCACGGCGUGCUAUGCACACCUAGACCGUCGCCGGGAUCGCAAGCUGGGGCGUCCCAACCCUCGCUGGCAUCGCACACUGGACGUCGCCGUGAGCUGUCUUGGGAGUUGUUUUUAUGUAUUAAAUUUGUGAACUUGGAAUAAUAUGUACUCUUGAACGUGUGGUUUGUAAUAUAUUUUAAAUUUCGUAUAAAUUUGGUCAUUUGUGAUAUAUAUAAAUGUGGUUUGUGAUA